GUCUGUCAGGGACCCCAGAACAAGCGGUUCAAAUCACCCACGUUAGGAAGAGCCCUUCAAGAGCAUGGUCUUUGCAGAUGUGACCAAAUUCCUGAAGCAGGAAGCAGGCCCGGAAAGGACCAUUAUCUGCAUCUACCAGGUGAGGAAAGUGAACCUCCAGUUGAUGACUAG